rnacentral:rRNA from 1 species
UACGUAGGUGGCAAGCGUUGUCCGGAUUUAUUGGGUUUAAAGGGUGCGUAGGCGGUGACUUAAGUCAGUUGUGAAAUACGGCAGCUUAACUGUCGAGGUGCAAUUGAUACUGGGACACUUGAGUACUGAUGAGGUAAGCGGAAUGGACGGUGUAGCGGUGAAAUGCUUAGAUAUGUCCAGAACACCGAUAGCGAAGGCAGCUUACUAAGGAGUAACUGACGCUGAGGCACGAAAGUGUGGGGAUCAAACAGG